rnacentral:rRNA from 1 species
UAGGGAAUCUUCGGCAAUGGACGGAAGUCUGACCGAGCAACGCCGCGUGAGUGAAGAAGGUUUUCGGAUCGUAAAGCUCUGUUGUAAGAGAAGAACGAGUGUGAGAGUGGAAAGUUCACACUGUGACGGUAUCUUACCAGAAAGGGACGGCUAACUACGUGCCAGCAGCCGCGGUAAUACGUAGGUCCCGAGCGUUGUCCGGAUUUAUUGGGCGUAAAGCGAGCGCAGGCGGUUAGAUAAGUCUGAAGUUAAAGGCUGUGGCUUAACCAUAGUAGGCUUUGGAAACUGUUUAACUUGAGUGCAAGAGGGGAGAGUGGAAUUCCAUGUGUAGCGGUGAAAUGCGUAGAUAUAUGGAGGAACACCGGUGGCGAAAGCGGCUCUCUGGCUUGUAACUGACGCUGAGGCUCGAAAGCGUGGGGAGCAAACAGGAUUAGAUACCCUGGUAGUCCACGCUGUAAACGAUGAGUGCUAGGUGUUAGACCCUUUCCGGGGUUUAGUGCCGUAGCUAACACAUUAAGCACUCCGCCUGGGGAGUACGACCGCAAGGUUG